rnacentral:misc_RNA from 1 species
GUAGGUGAACCUGCGGAAGGAUCAUUAAUGAAUUACAGAGAGUUGAUGCUGGCAGUCUCUGACUGCAUGUGCUCGCUCUCCUAAUCCAAUUUACACCUGUGCACUUAACUUUGAAGGGAGGGUAAAACUUGCCUUCGAAAUCUUUAAACUCUUAUUUUAAAAUAACGAAUGUUUAUCUGCCGCAAGGCGAAAUUAAAUACAACUUUUAACAACGGAUCUCUUGGCUCUC